GAUCGCCGUGUGCGAUGAAAGUCGCCUGCACGGUGAAGGCUCGUUAUAAAACCUUGAUAUAGACAAGGUAUAAAACGAGAAU
rnacentral:misc_RNA from 1 species